AUUGAACGCUGGCGGCAGGCCUAACACAUGCAAGUCGAGCGAGCGGCGGACGGGUGAGUACUGUCUGGGAAACUGCCUGAUGGAGGGGGAUAACUACAGGAAACGGUAGCUAAUACCGCAUACCAUCAGAUGUGCCCAGUUGGGAUUAGCUAUGAGGUGGGGUAACGGCUAACCUAGGCGACGAUCCCUAGCUGGUCUGAGAGGAUGACCAGGCACACUGGAACUGAGACACGGUCCAGACUCCUACGGGAGGCAGCAGUGGGGAAUAUUGGACAAUGGGCGCAAGCCUGAUGCAGCCAUGCCGCGUGUGUGAAGAAGGCCUUCGGGUUGUAAAGCACGUUCAGCGGGGAGGCGUUACCAGCAGAAGAAGCACCGGCUAACUCCGUGCCAGCAGCCGCGGUAAUUC
rnacentral:rRNA from 1 species